CCCGCACAAGCGGUGGAGCAUGUGGUUUAAUUCGAAGCAACGCGAAGAACCUUACCAGGUCUUGACAUCCCCUGACAACCCGAGAGAUCGGGCGUUCCCCUUCGGGGGACAGGGUGACAGGUGGUGCAUGGUUGUCGUCAGCUCGUGUCGUGAGAUGUUGGGUUAAGUCCCGCAACGAGCGCAACCCUCGACCUUAGUUGCCAGCAUUCAGUUGGGCACUCUAAGGUGACUGCCGGCUAAAAGUCGGAGGAAGGUGGGGAUGACGUCAAAUCAUCAUGCCCCUUAUGACCUGGGCUACACACGUGCUACAAUGGGCGGUACAAAGGGUCGCGAACCCGCGAGGGGGAGCCAAUCCCAAAAAGCCGCUCUCAGUUCGGAUUGCAGGCUGCAACUCGCCUGCAUGAAGUCGGAAUCGCUAGUAAUCGCGGAUCAGCUACGCCGCGGUGAAUACGUUCUCGGGCCUU
rnacentral:rRNA from 1 species